rnacentral:rRNA from 1 species
CGGGGGAGGAACGCGAGGACAACCUGCCUCACACUGGGGGAUAACAGUUAGAAAUGGCUGCUAAUACCGCAUAAGCGCACAGUACCGCAUGGUACGGUGUGAAAAACCCAGGUGGUGUGAGAUGGAUCCGCGUCUGAUUAGCCAGUUGGCGGGGUAACGGCCCACCAAAGCGACGAUCAGUAGCCGACCUGAGAGGGUGACCGGCCACAUUGGGACUGAGACACGGCCCAAACUCCUACGGGAGGCAGCAGUGGGGAAUAUUGCACAAUGGGCGCAAGCCUGAUGCAGCGACGCCGCGUGAGUGAAGAAGUAUCUCGGUAUGUAAAGCUCUAUCAGCAGGGAAGAAAAUGACGGUACCUGACUAAGAAGCCCCGGCUAACUACGUGCCAGCAGCCGCGGUAAUACGUAGGGGGCAAGCGUUAUCCGGAUUUACUGGGUGUAAAGGGAGCGUAGACGGCGACGCAAGUCUGGAGUGAAAGCCCGGGGCCCAACCCCGGGACUGCUUUGGAAACUGUGUUGCUGGAGUGCAGGAGAGGUAAGUGGAAUUCCUAGUGUAGCGGUGAAAUGCGUAGAUAUUAGGAGGAACACCAGUGGCGAAGGCGGCUUACUGGACUGUAACUGACGUUGAGGCUCGAAAGCGUGGGGAGCAA